GGGGACAUAGCUUAGCUGGUAGAGCGUCGCUUUUGCAUAGCGAAGGUCAGGAGUUCGAAUCUUCUUGUCUCCACCA
rnacentral:tRNA from 1 species